GUGCCAGCAGCUGCGGUAAUACGAAGGGGGCUAGCGUUGUUCGGAAUUACUGGGCGUAAAGCGCACGUAGGCGGAUAUUUAAGUCAGGGGUGAAAUCCCGGGGCUCAACCCCGGAACUGCCUCUGAUACUGGAUAUCUCGAGUCCGGAAGAGGUGAGUGGAAUUCCGAGUGUAGAGGUGAAAUUCGUAGAUAUUCGGAGGAACACCAGUGGCGAAGGCGGCUCACUGGUCCGGUACUGACGCUGAGGUGCGAAAGCGUGGGA
rnacentral:rRNA from 1 species